rnacentral:rRNA from 1 species
UACGGGGGGGGCAAGCGUUGUUCGGAAUUACUGGGCGUAAAGGGCGCGUAGGCGGCCUACUAAGUCGGACGUGAAAUCCCUCGGCUCAACCGAGGAACUGCGUCCGAUACUGGCAGGCUGGAAUCCGGGAGAGGGAUGUGGAAUUCCAGGUGUAGCGGUGAAAUGCGUAGAUAUCGGGAAGAACACCCGUGGCGAAGGCGGUUCUCUGGGACGGUACUGACGCUGAGACGCGAAAGCGUGGGGAGCGAACAGG